rnacentral:rRNA from 1 species
CCAGCAGCCGCGGUAAUUCCAGCUCCAAUAGCGUAUAUUAAAGUUGUUGCAGUUAAAAAGCUCGUAGUCGAACUUCUGGGUAUGGAUUGCGGUCCGCCGAAAGGUGUGCACUGUGAUCCAUGCCCUUUCCUCCCGACGUUCACGGGUGCUCUUAACUGAGUGUUCGUGGGACUCGGGACCUUUACUUUGAAAAAAUUAGAGUGUUCAAAGCAGGCUAUCGCUUGAAUACAUUAGCAUGGAAUAAUGGAAUAGGACUUUGGUUCUAUUUCGUUGGUUCUAGGACCGAAGUAAUGAUUAAUAGGGAUAGUUGGGGGCAUUAGUAUUUAAUUGUCAGAGGUGAAAUUCUUAGAUUUAUGAAAGACUAACUACUGCGAAAGCAUUUGCCAAGGAUGUUUUCAUUGAUCAAGAACGAAAGU